GACGAACGCUGGCGGCGUGCUUAACACAUGCAAGUCGAACGGAAAGGCCCUGCUUUUGUGGGGUGCUCGAGUGGCGAACGGGUGAGUAACACGUGAGUAACCUGCCCUUGACUUUGGGAUAACUUCAGGAAACUGGGGCUAAUACCGGAUAGGAGCUCCUGCUGCAUGGUGGGGGUUGGAAAGUUUCGGCGGUUGGGGAUGGACUCGCGGCUUAUCAGCUUGUUGGUGGGGUAGUGGCUUACCAAGGCUUUGACGGGUAGCCGGCCUGAGAGGGUGACCGGCCACAUUGGGACUGAGAUACGGCCCAGACUCCUACGGGAGGCAGCAGUGGGGAAUAUUGCACAAGGGGCGGAAGCCUGAUGCAGCAACGCCGCGUGCGGGAUGACGGCCUUCGGGUCGUAAACCGCUUUCGCCUGUGACGAAGCGUGAGUGACGGUAAUGGGUAAAGAAGCACCGGCUAACUACGUGC
rnacentral:rRNA from 1 species